GCAAACAAACCAUACCACGGUCUGGAGUUUUGAGACUCUCUGACCCCGGGUUCAAUCCUGCCCGUGGUAUGGUUUGUUUGCAAUCGUGUCACUACGAUUUCGUGAGUCAUGUUGACGGCAUUGAGGGGACUUGAGCUAGAGUUCGUCACUGCCACGCUAGCUGGAGAUUCGUCUGUAAAAACUUGCAUUUGUGGUCACAGUGGUGCCUAUGCUAACCUGAAGCUAGCUGGUCCAGUGGCUAACGCGACGGGCUGGAGUUUUGAGACUCUCUGACUGCGGGUUCAAUCCCGCCCGUGGCAAACGCUGAACCAGUAGGUACCAUUGAUGACUGGAGAAUGGGAGGUAAUCAGGAUCACUCCAAGGAAGAGAAAAUAUCCAUUUUCAUAGACCAGGAGUCCAUCACCUCCAUCAAAGAAUCUCCCUCCUGGGGUUUCGAUAUUUGUUAUUUCAUAGGGAAGCUUAACCCAUAUGAGUCAUACAGCACCUGCAUGAAUGGGAAAUUUUAAGGUUUGAUCUAUGGAAAAGGAGAAUAGCUUCAGUUUUUUUUGCAUCAGGAGUCCAUCACCAUUUUCAAGACACUUGGCUUUCAACUUUUUUUAAAGUUGUGUACUGAAGAUCGGUACAAUGUUGAAUUUUGUGUUGUUUCCAGUAUAUUUUCUGAAGUUCAAAUAUAUAUAAUUAGUAUUUUGCAUCAUUAAAGGCAUCCCUUUUUUUGUGGCUUU